rnacentral:rRNA from 1 species
UACGUAAGGGGCAAGCGUUGUCCGGAAUCACUGGGCGUAAAGCGCACGUAGGCGGUUUGUCGCGUCUGCUGUGAAAGCCCGGGGCUCAACCCCGGGUCUGCAGUGGGUACGGGCAGACUAGAGUGCAGUAGGGGAGACUGGAAUUCCUGGUGUAGCGGUGAAAUGCGCAGAUAUCAGGAGGAACACCGAUGGCGAAGGCAGGUCUCUGGGCUGUAACUGACGCUGAGGAGCGAAAGCAUGGGGAGCGAACAGG